rnacentral:rRNA from 1 species
UACGGGGGGGGCAAGCGUUGUUCGGAAUUACUGGGCGUAAAGGGUUCGUAGGUGGCCAACUAAGUCAGACGUGAAAUCCCUCGGCUUAACCGGGGAACUGCGUCUGAUACUGGAUGGCUUGAGUUUGGGAGAGGGAUGCGGAAUUCCAGGUGUAGCGGUGAAAUUCGUAGAUAUCAUGAGGAAUACCAGAGGCGAAGGCGGCUACCUGGACAAUUGCUGACGCUCAGGCACGAAAGCGUGGGGAGCAAAAGGG